CCCUGCGCCGCCCCCCUGCGUCCGGGGACCGCGGCGAGGAAGGACCCUGCGCGCACGUCGCACUCACCCGAGCCCGCCGGUCCGCACAGCGCUGGCUCAGGCGGGGAGAAGUGCAGCAGCCCUGCCCUCGCCCUGCUCGUCACGACUCCCCUGCAGGGCGCCGGCUUCCGAGCGCCCCUCUGGGCGGCCCACGUGACCUAGACCUUUGGCGCCAAAGUGGACUUUGGCAUCUGAAGAGGCACAGCUAGUGAACCUAUGCACAAAAUCUGUUCCGAAGUCACCCUGCCAGAGAGGAGAUCAUCUGUGCUCCCAACCAGACUGUGCAGUGUAUCUGGACAGCACAGAAGAGUGUGCCCUCCCUGACCUAUGGCCAGAGCUUUGCAGUGUGCCUUAGAUUCCAAUUAAGAAGACACGGAGAGGAGGAGAGGAGCCCGUUUACACGGUGCCAGCAGGAAUGUCAACACGGAUGCAAGGAAGGACUCAAUCCAACGAGCAGUCCAAGGAGACUGAGAGCGGUCCUGUGGCCUGUGGUACACACUGAGUGA
rnacentral:lncRNA from 1 species